CCUACGGGUGGCAGCAGUGGGGAAUAUUGCACAAUGGCGGAAACCCUGAUGCAGUGACGCCGCGUGAGGGAAGAAGGAUUUCGGUAUGUAAACCUUUGUCAGGAGGGAAGAAAAUGACAGUACCUGAGCAUGAAGCCCCGGCUAACUAUGUGCCAGCAGCCGCGGUAAUACGGAGGGAGCAAGCGUUAUCCGGAUUUACUGGGUGUAAAGGGUGCGUAGACGGUAAAGUAAGUUAGGUGUGAAAGCCCUGGGCUCAACUGCGGGACUGCAGUGGAAACUGUUUGUCUUGAGUACUGGAGAGGAAGGUGGAAUUCCUAGUGUAGCGGUGAAAUGCGUAGAUAUUAGGAGGAACACCGGUGGCGAAGGCGACCUGCUGGACUGGAACUGACGUUGAGGCACGAAAGUGUGGGGAGCAAACAGGAUUAGAUACCCCUGUAGUC
rnacentral:rRNA from 1 species